UUCCCUCAAAUUUAGGAUACAGUGGAGAUGUUUGGUACCCACAACCAGCUCCCAAGGACCAUCUGUGGCGCUACAAGCCAAACCAAGCUAUGACUCCUCAUAUUCUAGGACUACCAUUGAUGCACAGUUGAGGUAUGCAGCUAGAACAAAGGAUAUGUUGGACAGGUACUUCAAGGGUGAGGAUUUCCCUGCGUUUGGGCUGCAAGUGCUCAUAUCAUAAUUGUUGUUAUUGGUUCAAGCGUUUUAUCUUUGGCUUGCUAUUGCUCAACUUGGUUGGAUUGAUGAUUUUGAUCAAAUUUGACGACUUUCAAUUGUUGUUGUUGUACUUUCUUUCACUUGCUCGAUGAUCGGUCAAGGUUUAGGCAUUGAUCAAGUAGCAUAAACUAAAAAAUUGGAGGGAGUUUAACUGGAGUUAGCAUUGGAACUGUGACUGAAAUGCAAAAAGUUUGGAGAACUUUACAAGCACUGUGAGCUAUUGCUUUUGCCAAUUCUUACUCCCUCAUACUUAUGGAGAUUCAGGAUUUUGGAACUCCGACUUCUCCAGCUGACGAAAUAGAGAACAGGCUUCUUCUGGCAUGACGCCGAGCAGAAUACUCUGCUCGAACGCAUGCUCUUACCCAGAAUCUUAUUGAUGUCCAUUUUACACAGACUGAAUCUGACUGUACAUGUAUAACUCCACCACAACCUACUGUGUUCCUUCAAAACAAAGCAAGUUAGCAUAAGCAGGAAGAAGUACGAGCAUCAACAAGCAAGCAAAUGUUGUUCUUCUGCCACAUCUUUGCUCCAGGGAGCUGCAAGUUGGUUAGUUCUGGCUACUCCAAGAAACACUGCCUCAGAUGAACUAUGGUGUACACAUAUGUAGAAUAUUGCUUUAUAAGUAUGUGUACAAGUAUGUGUACGUACACAAGACAUACUAUCUUUUGAAAUUUAUUGCAAAUUUAUAUAUUUGAAUUACUUAUUAGCCAAUUUAAUG